rnacentral:rRNA from 1 species
GACGAACGCUGGCGGCGUGCUUAACACAUGCAAGUCGAACGGAAAGGCCCUGCUUUUGUGGGGUGCUCGAGUGGCGAACGGGUGAGUAACACGUGAGUAACCUGUCCUUGACUUUGGGAUAACUUCAGGAAACUGGGGCUAAUACCGGAUAGGAGCUCCUGCUGCAUGGUGGGGGUUGGAAAGUUUCGGCGGUUGGGGAUGGACUCGCGGCUUAUCAGCUUGUUGGUGGGGUAGUGGCUUACCAAGGUUUUGACGGGUAGCCGGCCUGAGAGGGUGACCGGCCACAUUGGGACUGAGAUACGGACCAGACUCCUACGGGAGGCAGCAGUGGGGAAUAUUGCACAAUGGGCGGAAGCCUGAUGCGGCAACGCCGCGUGCGGGAUGACGGCCUUCGGGUUGUAAACCGCUUUCGCCUGUGACGAAGCGUGAGUGACGGUAAUGGGUAAAGAAGCACCGGCUAACUACGUG